AUAAUGGAAAAGUUGCUGUGUGCCUCCCAUUUUCCUUUUUUUUGGAGAUGGGGUUGGGGCUCAGUGAUUCUUUCUUGUGAACUGUGGAGGCUUGAUGCCCCUUUCUUCUUUGAAGAAGGGGUGUUGGGCUUUGCCUUUUGUUUUUUGACAUUUGUAUUUUUAUUUUUUGAUUUUGAGAUUGAAAUAUUAUCUCAAAAAAAAAACCAAGA
rnacentral:misc_RNA from 1 species